rnacentral:rRNA from 1 species
CCUACGGGAGGCAGCAGUAAGGAAUAUUGGACAAUGGACGCAAGUCUGAUCCAGCCAUGCCGCGUGAAGGAUUAAGGCCCUCUGGGUUGUAAACUUCUUUUAUAGGGGACGAAAAAAGGGCUUUCUAGCUCGACUGACGGUACCCUAUGAAUAAGCACCGGCUAACUCCGUGCCAGCAGCCGCGGUAAUACGGAGGGUGCAAGCGUUAUCCGGAUUCACUGGGUUUAAAGGGUGCGUAGGCGGGCAUUUAAGUCAGUGGUGAAAUCUUCGAGCUCAACUCGGAAACUGCCAUUGAUACUAUUUGUCUUGAAUAUUGUGGAGGUGAGCGGAAUAUGUCAUGUAGCGGUGAAAUGCUUAGAUAUGACAUAGAACACCGAUUGCGAAGGCAGCUCGCUACACAAAUAUUGACGCUGAGGCACGAAAGCGUGGGGAUCAAACAGGAUUAGAUACCCUGGUAGUCCACGCCCUAAACUAUGGAUACUCGACAUUUGCGAUACACAGUAAGUGUCUGAGCGAAAGCAUUAAGUAUCCCACCUGGAAGUACGACCGCAAGGUUGAAACGUCAAAGGAAUUGACGGCUGAGACGNGCGAGGACGACGACGAGGGAGGAGG